CAAAAACAUAGCUAAAUGUAAAUAUAUUUAGUGUUUUCUGCUCAAUGAAGUAUUAAAUAGCCGCAGUACAUUGACUGUGCAAAGGUAGCGUAAUCAUUUGUCUUCUAAUUAGAGACGUGUAUGAAUGAAUAUAUGGGGACCCGCUUUACUCGAUGUAAUAAAUGAAUUUACUUAGUGUGUGCAAAUACACACAUUUAAAUAAUAGACGAGAAGACCCUAGAAAUUUUAACUAUAGGUUUUUGUUGGGGCAACAUAGUAACAAAUAAUUUACUUUAUGUAUAUGAAAUUGAUUAGGUAAACUAAAUUACUCUAGGGAUAACAGCAUAAUAAAUUAUUGGUUGUGACCUCGAUGUUGGAUUAGGAAGCUAUAGCUUAAAAGGUAUUUGGUUAUGCUCUGUUCGA
rnacentral:rRNA from 1 species